ensembl:miRNA MIR184 microRNA mir-184
CCAGUCACAUCCCCUUAUCACUUUUCCAGCCAGCUUUGUGACUCUAAAUGUUGGACGGAGAACUGAUAAGGGUAGGUGAUUGA